AUGGUCACAAAGGAGGACAGUGGCACACUUCCAAUAUAUUUGAUCUGUCCCUUGCUUGACUAUGCUUCCUUUAACCAGCUAGAGCACCAAAAACUCUGGGAUUUACUCCCAUCAUAUUUUUUUCUUUUUCAAAAAGAUGGUGUGAAAGCCAUCUCUGGAGUGUUAAGGUGGGGCAGUGAAGCCAGAUGUGGGCAGAUGGCAGACUGCAUGGGAACAACCUUGACUCUUGCAAGCUUUACUGAGACAUAAUUGACAAGCAAAACAUUGUGUGUGCAUGGUGUGUACAGCAAGACAGUGAGAAGGCCAAGACCCAAUUCACCUUACAAAUGUCACUCACGUUCACUCUGACUUAUCUUCCAGGGACAUCUCCUUUUCCACCAUCAGAUCAGGUAUGUUACGAAAUCUCUGCCCAUUGUUUUUACUGAAAUUAAGAUAUGCUAUAUUAUUUUAGCAUUUCUUGGUAAACGCAUCAGUAGGAAAUGGCACCCCACUCCAGAAUUCUUGCCUGGAAAAUUCCAUGGGCAGAGGAGCCUGGCUAUAGUCCAUGGGACUGUAAGGAGUCAGACAUGACUCUGCGACUAAGCAAACUUAUCUAACAUGUUAAUGGAAGAAAUUCAGAACAGUUUAUUGAUUUAAAAUUUAUUUGAUUGAAGUACAGUUGGUUUACAGUGUGUUAAUUUCUGCUGUACAACAAAGUGAUUCGGUUAUACAUACAAAUAUGUAGAUCCUGCUGUACAGCAAAGUGAUUUGGUUAUACAUACAAAUAUGUAGAUCCAUAUUCUUUUUCAUAUUCUUUUCCAUUAUGGUUUAUCACAGGAUAUUGACUAUAACUCUCUGUGCUAUUCAGUAGGACUUUGUGGUUUACCAUUCUAUAUAUAAUAGUUUGCAUCUAUCAAUCCCAGACUCCCAGUCCAUCCACCCCCUCUUCCUUGGCAACCACAAGUCUGCAGAACAACUUACUGUUUUAAUGGAAUGCACCUUGACUACAGUUUUUCAUUAUAUCCUUUUCUCACAAACCUGUUCUAUAAAUUUCCUGAGGCUUGAUGUCAAGCUCCGAUAAUUACUAAUUGUAGUUUCUGAGAUUUUUCCAUUUUCUUACUCUUUUGAAAACUGGAGAUAUUUGCCCAUCUCUAGUCUUCUGGACCUCCAGUACUCCUGCCUGGAAAAUCUCAUGGACAGGGAAGCCUGGAAGGCUGCAGUCCAUGGGCUCACUGAGGGUCAGACACGACUGAGCGACUUCACUUUCACUUUUCACUUUCCUGCAUUGGAGAAGGAAAUGGCAACCCACUCCAGUGUUCUUGCCUGGAGAAUCCCAGGGACGGGGGAGCCUGGUGGGCUGCCGUCUAUGGGGUCGCACAGAGUCGGACACGACUGAAGCGACUUAGCAGUAGCAGUCUUCUGAACACAUUUUUCCAUACUCUACAACUUCUCAACUGUGAAUGAAAAUACCUCUGAGGUGGUAAUCGAAGCCAUUUAAUUUGGCUACAAUAUUAUUUUUCUGGGUCUGAAGAAUUGACUUGAUUCAAAGAAUUGAAGGGGUCUUUUCUUAUCACCUCUCUCAUCUUGAUUUCCAGUUUUCUCUUAGUCAUGUCUUGCCAUUUCUAAUUUAGAAAAAUAUUCCAUUUUCUGGGAAAGAUAGUCACAAAGUGACAAUUCUGUCUUCUCACUGUAAACCUUAUCCCAUCUUAGACAAAACGUAACUAAAAUGGCCUUGCUAAGUGGUUAGGGGGUCAAACUUGAGGUCAUCAAAAUAGGGCUUGGUUGAAAAGCCUAUAUUCUGAGCCAACAAGGACUCCCCCAAAAACGAAACCUAUGGAAAAGAGAACUGUCAUCUGUGUGAUUAAUGUCGGAGCUGAUGUAUCUAAGCAGCCAGGGAAACUGUCAUCUGUGUGAUUAAUGUCGGAGCUGUUGUAUCUAGCAGGGGGCUGGAACUGUGCCCCAGGAUUUGGGAGACGCUCCCCAUCAGUCACGGGCAGCUCUGGACCACUGCAGGCCUUCUCCAAGAGGACAGUGCCUUCACUUCUAUGUUACCUCAAGGCUCAGAGAAUCUGAGAGCAUUGCUUGCAAGGGCAGCUCUCCCAAGAGAGAAGGUAGGGCUAGUUAGCACAGUUUUUCCUUCUAGGCCCACUAAUCAGCUCUUUUGUCCUUCACCACCACUAUGGAGGUGGAGGUUGAGAGAUGGGGAAAAGCCAAGAUUAAAGGAUGUUCCUCCGCAUGCAAGACAUGUAAGGAAGGAGUAAGUGUCCUUCACUGGUUUGAAAGCGCUGCUCCACUGUUUAACAGUAUAUGAUAAGCUGAAGCAGCUUUACCUUUUCGCACUUGUUUCCUCCUCUUUAAAGUGAAAGAAAUAGCAACACACACUGAGACUUCGUGGUUUGUACUGCCC
ensembl:lincRNA